rnacentral:rRNA from 1 species
GAUGAAUGCUGGCGGCGUGCUUAAUACAUGCAAGUCGAACGAAGAAUUAGAUAAGCUUGCUUAGAUAAUUCUUAGUGGCGAACGGGUGAGUAAUACGUAAGCAACCUGCCUGUUUGAAUGGGAUAACUGUGGGAAACUGCAGCUAAUACCAUAUAGCUUAUAAGCUGGCAUCAGCUUAUAACUAAAGACGCGUUUGCGUCGCAAACAGAUGGGCUUACGGUGUAUUAGCUAGUUGGUGAGGUAACUGCUCACCAAGCGAUGAUACAUAGCGGCCUGAGAGGGUGAACGGCACAUUGGGACUGAGACACGGCCCAGACUCCUACGGGAGGCAGCAGUAGGAAUUUUCGGCAAUGGGGGAAACCCUGACCGAGCAACGCCGCGUGAGUGAUGAAGGCCUUUGGG